rnacentral:rRNA from 1 species
ACACUCCUACGGGAGGCAGCAGUGGGGAAUUUUGGACAAUGGGCGAAAGCCUGAUCCAGCAAUGCCGCGUGAGUGAAGAAGACCUUCGGGUUGUAAAGCUCUUUUGUCAGGGAAGAAACGGUGAAAGCUAAUAUCUUUUGCUAAUGACGGUACCUGAAGAAUAAGCACCGGCUAACUACGUGCCAGCAGCCGCGGUAAUACGUAGGGUGCAAGCGUUAAUCGGAAUUACUGGGCGUAAAGCGUGCGCAGGCGGUUUUGUAAGUCUGAUGUGAAAUCCCCGGGCUCAACCUGGGAAUUGCAUUGGAGACUGCAAGGCUAGAAUCUGGCAGAGGGGGGUAGAAUUCCACGUGUAGCAGUGAAAUGCGUAGAUAUGUGGAGGAACACCGAUGGCGAAGGCAGCCCCCUGGGUCAAGAUUGACGCUCAUGCACGAAAGCGUGGGGAGCAAACAGGAUUAGAAACCCGGGUAGUCCC